UACGAAGGGGGCUAGCGUUACUCGGAUUGACUGGGCGUAAAGGGCGCGUAGGCGGCUUGUACAGUCAGACGUGAAAUUCCUGGGCUCAACCUGGGGGCUGCGUUUGAUACGUGCGGGCUUGAGUUCGGAAGAGGGUCGUGGAAUUCCCAGUGUAGAGGUGAAAUUCGUAGAUAUUGGGUAAAGGAAACACCCGGGUGGGCGAAGGGCGG
rnacentral:rRNA from 1 species